GCUGGCGGCAUGCCUAACACAUGCAAGUCGAACGUGAUCCAGGCUUCGGCCUGGUGAAAGUGGCAGACGGGUGAGUAACGCGUGGGAACCUGCCCUGUGGUAGGGAAUAACCGUGGGAAACUGCGGCUAAUACCCUAUGAGUCCUUCGGGAGAAAGAUUUAUCGCCAUAGGAGGGGCCCGCGUCGGAUUAGGUAGUUGGUGGGGUAACGGCCUACCAAGCCUUCGAUCCGUAGCUGGUCUGAGAGGAUGAUCAGCCACACUGGGACUGAGAUACGGCCCAGACUCCUACGGGAGGCAGCAGUGGGGAAUAUUGGACAAUGGGGGCAACCCUGAUCCAGCAAUGCCGAGUGGAUGAUGAAGGCCUUCGGGUUGUAAAGUCCUUUCGGCGGGGAAGAUGAUGACGGUACCCGCAGAAGAAGCCCCGGCUAACUUCGUGCCAGCAGCCGCGGUAAUACGAAGGGGGCUAGCGUUGUUCGGAAUUACUGGGCGUAAAGGGCGCGUAGGCUGUGCUGUAAGUCAGGCGUGAAAGCCCCGGGCUCAACCUGGGAAUUGCGCUUGAUACUGCGGCGCUGGAA
rnacentral:rRNA from 1 species